UAUUGAAGAAGUUGCAAAACGUUUGCUUCAUUACCAGAUGCUGGUCUGCCUGCCUUCAGUUAUCCAAAGACUGAACACCACAGCUGAAGCAGAUUCCAUUCUUCUGAUAGGUUUGACUGUGAAAUACAGUUAUGCAGAUACCAAGGAAUCAAAGACAAAUUCAUUUUCAAAAGUAACUUUCUAUCCAUGACUCAAGAGAUCACAGCUUCUGCACUGAGUGUAUUUGACAAGCUGAAUUCAGACACUCAAUUUAAAACAGUGUCAGUUUGUCAAAUACCCCAAGUGCAGAGCUGAAAAGCAGCUGAACAUUGUCCAGUGCUGUGAGGGGCUUAAAGAAACAAGCGUACAACUGAUGAGACUCUAAUAUCUGCAAAUGUGUGGAUGUGUAUUAGUGUUUACAAAAUCCAGAGUGAAAUAAGUGGAGUUUGUGAACUGAAUGGUUAUUAUUCAGAUGCUACAGACUUUGUGUACCUAACACAAGAUGGCUAUUUUAAAAUGGAUAUUACAUUCUCAAAGUAUUAUUUUAAACUAAUGGGCAACAUGUAAGAUAUCAUGACAUCACUAGCCACAUUAAGACUACUAAAAUAAGAACUUUGCUUUCCAAAAACAAGUAAAUAAAAAGCUGUAUCUUAGGUGCUUAUCCAGCACUUAUUUGCUUGCACGAACAGUAAAAGUAUUCCGAGUUUCUGGCACACAUUCAUUCUCAAUAAUGAAACAAUUUUCACUCUUUCAUUUUUUCCAUAUAUCACUAAUAUUUGGCCAUUCCAUCACUGCCUCUCCAGGAGGCAAUUUCUGAACAAUGAGAUCAAUGCUUCUCCAUUGGACGACAUAAAUGGACCCGGAAGACUAGCUGUUCUUGCUUGGAAAGGAGUAUGUGAUAAUGUUCAACAUAGGUCAAUUGUUUAAGCUUCUGUUUUCAACUAACAUUGUUAAUAUGGAGUCCAUGGGAGGUCAGCAAGUUAACAAAACAGAUUAACUCACCUUCAGCCAUUGACAAGAAAUAAAAUUACAUUUUUGCUA